rnacentral:lncRNA from 1 species
UUUGACCAAGAAAUGGUCUCCACCAGAAAUCCAAGAAUGUGAUCUAUGGCAAGGAAACAUAUGUGGGGUGAGGUGUACGAGCCUCUGGUCGAUGAUAAAUGGCCACACAACCCCCAUUUUUGAUGAAAAUAGCCAUGAACGACCAUUUUCAAUAAUACGAAGGCUAACACCUACGGAUUUUUGACCAAGAAAUGGUCUCCACCAGAAAUCCAAGAAUGUGAUCUAUGGCAAGGAAACAUAUGUGGGGUGAGGUGUAUGAGCCUCUGGUCGAUGAUCAAUGGCCACACAACCCCCAUUUUUGUCGAAAAUAGCCAUGAACGACCAUUUUCAAUAAUACCGAAGGCUAACACCUACGGAUUUUUGACCAAGAAAUGGUCUCCACCAGAAAUCCAAGAAUGUGAUCUAUGGCAAGGAAACAUAUGUGGGGUGAGGUGUACGAGCCUCUGGUCGAUGAUCAAUGGCCACACAACCCCAUUUUUGUCGAAAAUAGCCAUGAACGACCAUUUUCAAUGAUACUGAAGGCUAACACCUACGGAUUUUUGACCAAGAAAUGGUCUCCACCAUAAAUCCAAGAAUGUGAUCUAUGGCAAGGAAACAUAUGUGUAGUGAGGUGUAUGAGCCUCUGGUCGAAUAUCAAUGGCCACACAACCCCCAUUUUUGUCGAAAAUAGCCAUGAACGACCAUUUUCAAUAGUACCGAAGGCUAACACAUUCGGAUUUUUGACCAAGAAAUGGUCUCCACCAGAAAUCAAAGAAUGUGAUCUAUGGCAAGGAAACAUAUGUGGGGUGAGGUGUACGAGCCUCUGGUCGAUGAUCAAUGGCCACACAACCCCCAUUUUUGUCGAAAAUAGCCAUGAACGACCAUUUUCAAUAAUACCGAAGGCUAACACGUACGGAUUUUUGACCAAGAAAUGGUCUCCACCAGAAAUCCAAGAAUGUGAUCUAUGGCAAGGAAACAUAUGUGGGGUGAGGUGUAUGAGCCUCUGGUCGAUGAUCAAUGGCCACACAACCCCCAUUUUGUCGAAAAUAGCCAUGAACGACCAUUUUCAAUAAUACCGAAGGCUAACACCACGGAUUUUUGACCAAGAAAUGGUCUCCACCAGAAAUCCAAGAAUGUGAUCUAUGGCAAGAAACAUAUGUGGGGUGAGGUGUACGAGCCUCUGGUCGAUGAUCAAUGGCCACACAACCCCAUUUUUGUCGAAAAUAGCCAUGAACGACCAUUUUCAAUGACACUGAAGGCUAACACCUACGGAUUUUUGACCAAGAAAUGGUCUCCACCAUAAAUCCAAGAAUGUGAUCUAUGGCAAGGAAACAUAUGUGUGUGAGGUGUAUGAGCCUCUGGUCGAAUGAUCAAUGGCCACACAACCCCCAUUUUUGUCGAAAAUAGCCAUGAACGACCAUUUUCAAUAUACCGAAGGCUAACACAUUCGGAUUUUUGACCAAGAAAUGGUCUCCACCAGAAAUCCAAGAAUGUGAUCUAUGGCAAGGAAACAUAUGUGGGGUGAGGUGUACGAGCCUCUGGUCGAUGAUCAAUGGCCACACAACCCCCAUUUUUGUCGAAAAUAGCCAUGAACGACCAUUUUCAAUAAUACCGAAGGCUAACACGUACGGAUUUUUGACCAAGAAAUGGUCUCCACCAGAAAUCCAAGAAUGUGAUCUAUGGCAAGGAAACAUAUGUGGGGUGAGGUGUACGAGCCUCUGGUCGAUGAUCAAUGGCCACACAACCCCCAUUUUUGUCGAAAAUAGCCAUGAACGACCAUUUUCAAUAAUACCGAAGGCUAACACUACGGAUUUUUGACCAAGAAAUGGUCUCCACCAGAAAUCCAAGAAUGUGAUCUAUGGCAAGGAAACAUAUGUGGGGUGAGGUGUACGAGCCUCUGGUCGAUGAUAAAUGGCCACACAACCCCCAUUUUUGUCGAAAAUAGCCAUGAACGACCAUUUUCAAUAAUACCGAAGGCUAACACCUACGGAUUUUUGACCAAGAAAUGGUCUCCACCAGAAAUCCAAGAAUGUGAUCUAUGGCAAGGAAACAUAUGUGGGGUGAGGUGUACGAGCCUCUGGUCGAUGAUCAAUGGCCACACAACCCCAUUUUUGUCGAAAAUAGCCAUGAACGACCAUUUUCAAUGACACUGAAGGCUAACACCUACGGAUUUUUGACCAAGAAAUGGUCUCCACCAUAAAUCCAAGAAUGUGAUCUAUGGCAAGGAAACAUAUGUGUAGUGAGGUGUAUGAGCCUCUGGUCGAAGAUCAAUGGCCACACAACCCCCAUUUUUGUCGAAAAUAGCCAUGAACGACCAUUUUCAAAAUACCGAAGGCUAACACAUUCGGAUUUUUGCCCAAGAAAUGGUCUCCACCAGAAAUCCAAGAAUGUGAUCUAUGGCAAGGAAACAUAUGUGGGGUGAGGUGUACGAGCCUCUGGUCGAUGAUCAAUGGCCACACAACCCCCAUUUUGCCGAAAAUAGCCAUGAACGACCAUUUUCAAUAAUACCGAAGGCUAACACGUACGAUUUUUGACCAAGAAAUGGUCUCCACCAGAAAUCCAAGAAUGUGAUCUAUGGCAAGGAAACAUAUGUGGGGUGAGGUUUAUGAGCCUCUGUCGAUGAUAAAUGGCCACACAACCCCCAUUUUUUAUGAAAAUAGCCAUGAAGCGACCAUUUUCAAUAAUACUGAAGGCUAACACCUACGAUUUUUGACCAAGAAAUGGUCUCCACCAGAAAUCCAAGAAUGUGAUCUAUGGCAAGGAAACAUAUGUGGGGUGAGGUGUAUGAGCCUCUGGUCGAUGAUCAAUGGCCACACAACCCCAUUUUGUCGAAAAUAGCCAUGAACGACCAUUUUCAAUAAUACCAAAGGCUAACACCUACGGAUUUUUGACCAAGAAAUGGUCUCCACCAGAAAUCCAAGAAUGUGAUCUAUGGCAAGGAAACAUAUGUGGGGUGAGGUGUAUGAGCCUCUGGUCGAUGAUCAAUGGCCACACAACCCUAAUUUUUGUCGAAAAUAGCCAUGAACGACCAUUUUCAAUGACACUGAAGGCUAACACCUACGGAUUUUUGACCAAGAAAUGGUCUCCACCAUAAAUCCAAGAAUGUGAUCUAUGGCAAGGAAACAUAUGUGUAGUGAGGUGUAUGAGCCUCUGGUCGAAGAUCAAUGGCCACACAACCCCCAUUUUUGUCGAAAAUAGCCAUGAAUGACCAUUUUCAAAAAUACCGAAGGCUAACACAUUCGGAUUUUUGACCAAGAAAUGGUCUCCACCAGAAAUCCAAGAAUGUGAUCUAUGGCAAGGAAACAUAUGUGGGGUGAGGUGUACGAGCCUCUGGUCGAUGAUCAAUGGCCACACAACCCCCAUUUUGUCCGAAAAUAGCCAUGAACGACCAUUUUCAAUAAUACGAAGGCUAACACGUACGAUUUUUGACCAAGAAAUGGUCUCCACCAGAAAUCCAAGAAUGUGAUCUAUGGCAAGGAAACAUAUGUGGGGUGAGGUUUAUGAGCCUCUAGUCGAUGAUAAAUGGCCACACAACCCCAUUUUUUAUGAAAAUAGCCAUGAGCGACCAUUUUCAAUAAUACUAGAGGCUAAGACCUACGGAUUUUUGACCAAGAAAUGGUCUCCACCAGAAAUCCAAGAAUGUGAUCUAUGGCAAGGAAACAUAUGUGGGGUGAGGUGUAUGAGCCUAUGGUCGAUGAUCAAUGGCCACACAACCCCCAUUUUUGUCGAAAAUAGCCAUGAACGACCAUUUUCAAAGACACUGAAGGCUAACACCUACGGAUUUUUGACCAAGAAAUGGUCUCCACCAUAAAUCCAAGAAUGUGAUCUAUGGCAAGGAAACAUAUGUGUAGUGAGGUGUAUGAGCCUCUGGUCGAAGAUCAAUGGCCACACAACCGCCAUUUUUGUCGAAAAUAGCCAUGAAUGACCAUUUUCAAAAAUAUAGCCAGUGAAGUACAAAAUAUGGCCGACAGAAGCAACGUGAAGACUAGACAGAGAACGUCCAUCAAAUGUCCAAUCAGCUGCAGAGCAAAUAAAUUACACCACCUAGCAAGAUAUGGAUGGAUCGCGAACUCGGCUGCAAAAGACAAAAUACAUGCUGACCUCUGAAGCACAAUAUUGAUGACAUAAUGCUGACCUCCAAAGUAUAAUGCGGAUGGCAUCAUGCCGACCUGUACAAACAGAAAGGAUAAUCUUCAGCAAAAAGACACAAAAGGAAGACCUUCGAACGGAUUAUCCUCAAAAAUCCACUCGAAGGUCGGGGGCUACACUCAUUGGGUGCACCUCCGGUGCACCCAAUUAAGCUCAGGGUCCUACAAAACGAAAUGCCGACCUCUAAGGCACGAGCACGAAGCGAAGGUUCGGUUUACGAGUGAUCAAAGCAGGAGGAGACAGUAAGAAGUCGUUUUCUUCAAAUCGCCUGCAAGUUGGACCUGGGAUCUUCGGGCUGAUUACCUCCAAAUUAACCCAAAGAUCGGGGGCUUGUGGGGGACAGAUAUCCCCCAGGUCCACUAAAAGAGAAAAAGACCUCACGAAAGGCCCAAGGGCCCAAUAAAUCGUAAGGUCAUUCUUUCAUGGGCCUGGGGAGGGACAACCAGCAAAGCAGAUCGACAUAAGGCUGGAUUGGUGCAAACCCAGACGACCCACAACGUCGGGCGAGCGACUGCAACAGAAGUCCGACUUUCUCGCGCUGGAGCCCCAUGCAACGGAGCCAUGCGAGGAUAAGUCGGCAGAACCACGAGGAGAUAAACUCAAACAGUUCACUAUCUUUUAGCUACACUUUGUUAUCAUAUCCAUAUGUAUUGCCCCACGGUCGAGUAUAUAAGGACUAGGGGGCACCCCUUCAGAACGAUCGACCCUACUACUUAGCCUUCCACUCCAACUCUCUGCAUUCUCAAUUCAGAGAGCUCUUUUGUAACCUCAUUCACCAAGCAUACUCACCAGGACGUAGGGUGUUACGCGUCUCUAAGCGGACCGAACCUGUAAACAUUGUCCACUGUCCCUCGUGCAUCUGGCACGAACCAUUUUGCUACAGUCGUCGACACCGUCCUACUCCUAAAAACACCUUAAGGGGCAACCCCGGGUGUGCGGUCGGACCCAAAACACCGACAAUGGUCUCCACCAGAAAUCCAAGAAUGUGAUCUAUGGCAAGGAAACAUAUGUGGGGUGAGGUGUACGAGCCUCUGGUCGAUGAUCAAUGGCCACACAACCCCCAUUUUUGUCGAAAAUAGCCAUGAACCACCAUUUUCAAUGACACUGAAGGCUAGCACCGAUGGAUUUUUGACCAAGAAAUGGUCUCCACCAGAAAUCCAAGAAUGUGAUCUAAGCUAGCUCAAUGGCCGUCACCUUCCACAGCAAGAUCACCCUCCGUCCCGGAUCCGUAUUCUGCUUCGGAACAAUCUCAUCCGUAGAAGAUGAAGAGGGAACUCUACACCGCAUUGUGGAUCCGCCGGAAAAGAAGUCUCCUCCAACCAACUCCGAAAAUGUCGGGGAAUCGCAACCUCCAGCUCUCCGGAAAAAGAUCGUUUCCGGAAAGUCAGGGGCCGAGGGCCCGCUGACCCGGAGAACUCCACUGUCUACUUCCCCGACAAAAGAAUGGACACAGAUCGCGAGGAAGAAGGAGACCAAGGGGAAGCAAGUUGUUCUUUCCAUUCCUCCGCCCUCAAAGGAGAACGGAAAGAAGAUCGCCACGACAGCAGCACCAUUCUACCCCGACGUCCUCUUCAUCGGGAGAGUGGAGUCGCCUACCAUCUCCGACGACGAGCCGACCGCACCCGGAGAAGAACCGCCUCAACGAGAAUCCCACCGACGGAGGAACCGGCGCAGGAACAUUCGACGACAUCACGCGACCGGAGAACGAGAUCCGGAGCAACCUGUCUCGCGAGACGAGGUCUCGGAGAUAAGUGAAACUCCGGAAGAACGCAUCUUCAGAGAGCGAAGGAACUCCCGACGACGUGAUCGCCGCCGGGCUCAGGAACAAGCCGAGCAAGAUGCAAGGCCAUGCCGGGAGAAUCCAUUCUUCGGGCGCAAUCUGAACCCCGACUUUGCCCGAGCCAUGAACACGCCGAGCGAAGUCGGAGGAGUACUAGCUCGGAUAGCUGAUGGACUCCCUCGGACUCCCGACGCCGAGGGCUACCGACGACUGUUCACCCAGGCAGCCAACCAUCUUCUACCGCUCGCUCACCCGCCGAACGAUCUACGACACGCCAUCAACAGUCGCCGAGACGCGCGAAGCUCCAUCAAUGCUUCGCGUGAACGGCGGCAUGAGAACGAGAUCCGCCGCCGGGAGGAGUACGACAGGGAUCACGGCAUCCCAGCUCGGAGCCAGGCCACCAGAACUGAGUCGGCAACGGCCUCAACUGGCGGUACUACCCGGGGACAGUCGAGGAACCACAACAACUACUCCCCUCCCCGGGAUAAGCAUCAUCCCCGACGACAGGAGGACACCUGCAGAGUGUCUGCUCUUACUUCGCGCCUCAGGGCCAUCCAAUGGCCUCCCAACUUUAAGGUAUCCAAUGUCGACAAAUAUGAACCUAAGCAGGAUCCAGGGGGUUGGCUAGCCGUCUACACCACAGCUGCUCGAGCUGCCGGGGCAUCCGAAGAUGUGAUGACCGCGUACUUACUCAUCGUCCUUGGGCAAGACGCGCUGCAAUGGCUACGACAUCUACCCCGACACUGCAUCGACGACUGGAGCGACUUCAGUCGUCGCUUCACCGCCAAUUUCCAGUCCCUCUCCGACAAACCGGCGCAACCAUGGGACCUCAAAUCCAUCAAGCGCCGGGGGGACGAAACUCUCCGGUCGUACCUCAAAAGGUUCCAGACCAUGAGAAAUCGUAUCCCCGAGGUCACGGAGGCGGCCGUGAUUGAGGACUUCUACCGAGGAUCCAAUGACUCGGCUUUCGUCCGGGCUAUAUUACAGAAGGUGCCGACUACUUCCGAGGAGCUGUUCCGGGAAGCCGACCUCUACAUCACCGCCGACGAGCGGGCCCAGGACCUCAUCGGAGGAGCAAAGCCCGCACCAGCACCACCACGACGCGACACGAACCAGCAACCCGACAAACGCUGGGAGAAGAGGCCUCGCGAAGAAGUGCACGCCGCCGGACCACCUGCCUCUCGCGCCCGAGGAGGACCUCGCGAAGGGGAACGCACGCUGGACGACAUCCUCGACGCCCAGUGCCCGUACCACAAGGACAUGCGCCACACUCUUCGUGACUGCCGGGACUUCAAGCACUCCGUUGGGCACGGUCGACCCUUCCAACAUCUACCUCCUCCUCCGCCGAGGGGAGGACCAGAUGAACCACGACAACCCCAUCAGCAGGAGGAGGGAGGAGGAGGAGCUUUCCCGUGCGUUGAUAGGGAGGUCAACGUCAUCUUCGGCGGACAUGGGUCGCAGGAGAACAAAAGACAACAAAAGCUCAACGACCGCCAGAUACUGGUGGCGACCACCGGUCCUCCCGCCCCAUACCGGUGGUCGGAGCACCCGAUCACAUUCACUCGGGAGGAUCAAUGGCUCAACUUCGACCAUCCAGGAAAAUACCCGCUCCUCGUCGAUCCGGUGAUCCGAGAGAGCCGGGUGAAGAAGGUGCUAGUGGACGGGGGGAGCAGCAUCAACGUCACCUUCCCCCGGACACUCCAAGGCUUGGGAGUUCACCUCAAAGAGCUCCACGAGUCGGACACUCCUUUCUUCGGCAUCGUGCCGACGGAAGGGGAAUACCCACUGGGCCACAUCUACAUGCUUGUCACCUUUGGAACUCCACAGAACUACAGAACCGAGUUCCUGAGGUUCGAAGUGGCGAACUUCGACUGCGGCUACAACGCCAUCAUCGGGAGGCCGGGAUUGGCCAAAUUCAUGGCCAUUCCACAUUAUACAUACCUGAUACUGAAGAUGCCCGGACCGCAAGGAAUCAUAACUGUGCGCGCCGACUUCCAAGGCACCGCAGAGUGUUUCCGAGUGGCCAUCCAAGCAGCCCUCACCACCAAGCCGUCGAAGGUUUCUCCAACACAGGCGAACUCUAAGCCUGAGGAGGACCUUGCAGUACCGGCAAACGAAGCUCAGGCCGCGACCUCUAUGCGGCCGACUGAAGAAACCAAGAGGAUCAACCUGGGAUUCGCUGAUGAACGCAAGACUGCCAUCAUCAGCUCCAGCCUGGACGACAAAUAGGAAAGCGCGCUCGUCCAGUUUCUGCUAGAUAACCGAGAUGUAUUCGCAUGGCAACCUGCGGAUAUGCCGGGAGUCCCAAGAGAACUGGCCGAGCACAAACUGAAGGUCUAUCCCCAGGCAAGGCCGAUUCGGCAAAAGCUACGUCGUUUCACGCCCGACAAGAGAGAGGUCAUUCGCGCCGAGUUAGCUCGCUUGGUCGCGGCUGGAUUUAUUAGAGAGGUGUUACACCCCGAGUGGUUAACCAACCCUGUUCUUGUACUCAAAAAGAAUAAAGUGGAUUGGCGCAUGUGACUUGGCCUUUCGCAUGCUGGGGACUGGAUAUGAUUGGACCUUUUAAGAAAGCUCAAGGAGGAUACACUCAUGUAUUGGUAGCGAUCGACAAAUUCACUAAAUGGAUAGAGUUCAAGCCCAUCGCUUCUUUGACCUCAGCUAAAGCCGUGGAAUUCAUACAAGAUAUAAUAUUCAGAUUCGGGAUACCAAACAGCAUCAUAACUGACCUAGGAUCCAACUUCAUAAGUUCAGAAUUCUUCGACUUCUGCGAGCAAAAAAGCAUUCAGAUCAAGUAUGCAUCUGUAGCACAUCGAAGAGCCAACGGGCAGGUUGAGCGAGCCAACGGAAUGAUACUGGAGGCACUCAGGAAAAAGGUCUUCGAUAAGAAUGAAAAAAUCGCAGGAAAAUGGAUAUGGGAAUUGCCUUAUGUCGUUUGGAGCCUAAGAACCCAACCUAGCCGAGCUCUGCAUGGAAACACUCCUUUCUUCAUGGUCUAUGGGUCGGAGGCAGUGCUACCCGCCGAUCUCAAGUUCGGGGCGCCAAGACUGAUCUUUGAAAACAUAGCAGAAGCAGAGGCCACCAGGCUGGAGGACGUUGAUAUACUUGAAGAAGAACGGCUGAAUGCAGUAAUUCAAUCGGCACGGUACCAGCAGACUCUAAGGCGCUAUCACGACAAGGCUGUGCGACAGCGAUCCUUUUCAGUAGGAGAUCUCAUCCUCCACCGAAUUCUAACGGGGGAGGGACGACACAAGUUAUCGCCCUUAUGGGAAGGACCCUUCAUAGUAGCAGAAGUCACUCGGCCCGGAUCAUAUCGCCUCACUCAGAUGGAUGGCACAGAAGUCGGGAACUCCUGGAACAUAGAACACCUCAAGAAGUUUUACCCCUAGCUGUAUUUCAAAAGCUAUCGGGACGACGAUGUACUCUGUAAAAUGGAAAUAUGUCAUCAAUAAAAAAGGGGUUUCAAAGAUAUUCAGCUUGUUCACGAUUGACUUGCAUUCUUACUUAACUCGGGGUGACCACUAUGCCCUGCUAACGGAGGAAUUGGCUUAAGUCGGCAACGACUUAAGGCGGUGCAACAUGCUCACGCUUACUUAAUUCGGGGUGACCACUAUGCCCGGCUAACGGAGCAAUCGGCUUAAGUCGGCAACGACUUAAGGCGGUGCGACAUGCUCACGCUUACUUAACUCGGGGUGACCACUAUGCCCUGCUAACGGAGCAAUCGGCUUAAGUCGGCAACGACUUAAGGCGGUGCAACAUGCUCACGCUUACUUAACUCGGGGUGACCACUAUGCCCUGCUAACGGAGCAAUCGGCUUAAGUCGGCAACGACUUAAGGCGGUGCGACAUGCUCACGCUUACUUAACUCGGGGUGACCACUAUGCCCUGCUAACGGAGCAAUCGGCUUAAGUCAGCAACGACUUAAGGCGGUGCAACAUGCUCACGCUUACUUAACUUGGGGUGACCACUAUGCCCUGCUAACGGAGCAAUCGGCUUAAGUCGGCAACGACUUAAGGCAGUGCGACAUGCUCACGCUUACUUAACUCGGGGUGACCACUAUACCCUGCCAACGGAGCAAUCGGCUAAAGUCAGUGGCGACUUAAGCCGGUGCAACAUGCUCACGCCUACGCAAUUCAGGGUGACCACUACGCCCUAUUAACAAAAGCAAUCGACUUAAGUCAGCAGCGACUUAAGGCGAUCUGACGUGAUUACAAUUACUCAUAUAAGGAUGACUUCUAUAUCCCGCAAACAAAUUUCAUAACCAUCACGCAUCAUUUUACUAAUGCAAAUUUACAGACUGAUGAAUUCUGAAACAAUACGAGAAUAACAAUGUCGUUUAAGUACUGAAAUGACGUCCUCUAACAAAUGUCUGACCAUGCUAACCGCGCGCUCAGAGCACGUAAAACGUUUCUCUACUUGGUGAUAUUUUUCUCAGGAGCGAUCGAUGAGGAAGGACGACUCGAGGAAUCAGGGGCAGCAUUCACAUCAGCCCUUAUAUCUUCGGGAACAACCACUCCGGGUCUCCUCAUCAAGAUUCGCCCCGCCCGAAUAGCCUUGUCCAUGGCUCUGUCACGCUGGGCUCUGAGAGUAACAGAAGUUUCUUCGGCAACCUUGGCAGCCAGUCGAGUAGUUUCUAACUCCUGGACAAUGGAUUUCUUGGAAGCUCGGAGUUCUUUGAUGGUAGCGUCCUUCGCUGAUAUCAGCUGCUUGAGCCGAGUCACCUCAUCCGAAGAUUCCUGCAGCUUACAACGUUGAUUGUCCAACUCUUCUAUGGUGAAGCAAUGACUCCUCUCCAAGAUAGUCAGCGAGUUGCUAGAAUCACAAUACAAUCUGUCAAGACUGUCGCGAGAAGCAGCAAGGAUACGUUUUUCUUCCUGCAAACAAAAGUCAACUCCCUCAAAAACCAAUCAAGUAAUAGGAACACAACAAGGCAAAGCAUAGUUUCGCAAAUCACCUUUUCAGAAUUGAGCUGGGCGUGAAGAGAAGAACUCAGUGCAUUGGCGUCAUCUAAAGCAGCGGAGACCUGACCCAGUUCAGUCAGGCUCUGAGAGUACUUUUCCUCAAAGUCAGUGCAUCGCUGGACCAAUUCAGCCUGAUCUCGGGAAUGUUUUUCCUCAAGAGUGGAAAUCUGCCGAGUCAUUCCUAGCAGGAGACAAUCAAACAAAAAGGGAUCAGAAUGUAAAGCAGUCCACAGUGAAGACAAAGAGAGCAAAAAAAAGCACUAAUCAGCGUUGGUGGCCUCCAAUUCAGAGACACGAUGUUGAAGUGACACUGGAUUCCAACAUGCAAGAGAUGAAGCUACUUCUGGGACAGAAGCACCCUGUAACCUCAGCUGGCUAGCCAUCCCAUCCACCAAAGCCUGAUGAGGAGAACAGAUGAGUGUAAUGACAGCAGUUCAUGCAAUGUAAAAAUCAAGCUAAAAUAUAUCACAGUACCUGGAGGUUGGAAAAGAACGAAGAGAUCCCCAAAUCAGGAGAGAUCAAUUGAUAACCAGGUGUAAGGCCACCACCCGAAGCAGCUUGCAACGAACCAGCAGGAAUCAGCUCGGUGCCUUCAACAGAGCCCAACACCCGGUUAGUGGGGACGCUGCCCUCUAAAGCGACUCCCUGGUCCAAGGCUUGGGCUACCACCAUACAACCAGAGUGUGGAGGCGAUCCCGCAUGAACGUCCAUGGAAGUACAGGAGGGAGACCCCGCUCGGACACCCUCGGGGGCUGGGUCAUAGUUUGCACUACCCACUUGAGUCGGAUCAUCCCCGGCAGCACCCUCGGGGGCUGGGCAGUGGCUUACACUUCCCACCCGAGCCAAGCCAUCCCCAGCAACAUCCUCGGGGGCUGGGCAUGUGUCAACACCAUCCUUGAGGUCCGAGUUCUCUGCAGUAGCCACCUCUAAGGUUGAUGGGCCCUCAGCUACUUCCAUAGGACUAGGACGAUCCAAGUCAGUCUCCCGACCCUCGAGAUCGCGCUCUAAGGUCGACGAGGCACGGGAUGACCUCAACCCAGCAUCAAGCACAUCAGCACAAACCUCCAUCACACCAUCAUCCACAGGCUCCGAUAACAAGUCCUCUGGAACCAUAUCCUCAAGAGUCUGAUCAAAGUUGGCCAGGGACAGUUCUUGCAGACCAAUGAGAGCAGACAAAGCAGGAGAGGGAACUCCACUACUUUCACCGCUAGCGAUGAACUGCCGACAGUUUUUCCGAGUCAAAGGAACUUCAUCUUCCUCCUCCUCGUUGUCCACAUUGGCAACACAAGCAGCACCCCCAUUGGGAUCAGCAACAGAUGGAGCACCCACAUUGGGAUCAACAGCGGAUUGGGUACACCCAUUGGGGUCAGCAUCAGUAAAUUCAGUCACAGGCAUUUCUUCAGCAGCAGGAACCGAAGUACCAGUGUCCCGAUCCAAACUGGAUACUCGCCGGAGGCGUCUUCUUUUCUUCUUCUGCUCAUCAGCAGAAGGAUCAGGCUGAUUGGCUCGGCAAGGGCGCCUCGGGCGAGUACUGGCAGGUUUCUGAGUAUCCAAAGUUGUAUCAGCCUCUGGGAGGGGCGCCACUACCAGUGCCCCAGCAGGAGCAGCAUCAGAAGAAUCCUCAGCCAGCAAAUCAAGCAUAGCGCUUAUCUCUGCAUCACUAGGAUUUAGGGGCACCUCAAAAUGGACCUGCCGUUCAUCAUUAGGAAUCUCCCCAAGCGAGGCAACCAAGGCACUAACUUCUUCAGCAGAGGGUCGCACUCUAAGGCCCAAACUGCCAUCAGUGACAGGUGCAUUCGACACAAAAAGGGUGAAGGCUUUGGGAGGAGGCAGGUUCCAGGCCGAGUAUGCCACUGGAGCACCAACAUUUGACACUUUGCCUCUAAGGAUCAUCUCAAGUCGGCUCACCAAGUCUGCAGAGGGAAUUCUUCUGUUGGUAACCCGAGUUGAGUCGGCUAGGCCUCGAUAUAGAUAAGCUGGGUAUGCCCUGUCCUUCAAUGGCUGAAUAUUCUUGAAGACAAAGUCAGCAACCACAGCUUCAGCAGUCAGACCCCUCUCUUUCAGCAGUCCAACUUCAGCUAGCAACGCACCUGCCUCAGCUACCUCCUGAUCUGUGGGAGACUCGGUCCAGCUUGGGGUGCGAACAUCCGGCUGUCUUCCCGACCGGGGGGAGAGAAUUUCCAUGAUUCUCAACUAUGAACCACUCCAGGCGCCAUCCCUUGAUACUGUGUUUGAGAGGGAUCUCGAGAUACUCAGUCUUCCUCUCGCGAUGCAACUCCAAGCUGGCACCCCCAACCAACUGAUGUUGUCCCCCAGCCAUCCCAGGGCGAUAGUGAUACAAGUAUUUCCACAACCCAAAAUGUGGCAGCACACCGAGAAAGGCUUCGCAUAAAUGAACGAAAAUAGAGAUUUGGAGGAUAGAAUUGGGGUUCAGAUGGGUCAAGUUAAGAUGAUAGAAAUCAAGGAGGCCGCGGAAAAAGGGAGAAAUAGGAAGGCCAAGGCCGUGGAGAAGGAAAGGAGCAUAAACAACGGACUCAUGGGUAUCCUCAGUUGGGACAGUAACCCCAUGGCAAAUCCACCAAGAACAGAGUUCCCGCGGAGGAAGAACCCCAAUGGACACGAGGUGGAGAAGUUCGGGCUCAGAGAUGACGGACAUGUGGUUACCUGCGAAAGGCAACUCGCUGUUGGGGUCGAUUGGAGGAAUCACCACGGCAGACGAACUCGAGGUUUUCCCCUUGGGCGCCAUCUCGAUUCUACCGGCGAGCAGAGUGGGAGGCGAAUUGCAGAGAGGAUUCGGAAGCGAGAAAGCAAGAACUAGGGCACGGAAAGCAGAGGCGGCUAAAAGCGCAGCACUUAUGGGAUAUUCCCGAGCCAGAUACCGUUUCAAAAAAGUGGCCAGUCAGCACCCGACGGUUAUUUCCAAAACACCGGCGUGCCACGUGGUCACCCGGCAGUUAUUUCCAGAACACCGGUGCGCCACCUCAUCACUCGGCUAUCAUCCUCAAAGUGGCCCACGCGGCCUACUAUCACUCGGCGUUGCCUCUAAAACGCUGAUAUCGUGUUCAGUCGCUCGGCAUUACCUCUAAAAUGCUAACGUCGCCCUCAAGUCGCUCGGCGUUACCUCUAAAACGCUGACGUCGCCCUCCAGUCACUCAACGUUACCUCUAAAACACGGAUAUCGUGUUCAGUCGCUCGACAUUACCUCUAAAAUGCUGACAUCGCCCUCAAGUCGCUCGGCAGUUGACUCUAAAACUCCGACAUCGUGUCAAGUCGCUCGGCAUUACCUCUAAAAUGCCGACGUCACCCUCAAGUCGCUCGGUAGUUGACUCUAAAACUCCGACAUCGUGUCAAGUCGCUCGGCAUUACCUCUAAAAUGCCGACGUCGCCCUCAAGUCGCUCGGCAGUUGACUCUAAAACUCCGACAUCGUGUUCAGUCGCUCGGCAUUACCUCUAAAAUGCCGAUGUCGCCAUCAAAUCGCUCGGCAUUACCUCUAAAAUGCUGACGUCGACCUCAAGUCGCUUGGCAGUCAACUCUAAAACUCCGACAUCGUGUUAAGUCGCUCGGCAGCUACCUCUAAAAGCGUCAAAACGAUGCCAGAGUUAUUUACGUGCAAACUCCAAGGAAAUCAGCUUCACAAAUGAGCAGGAUAAUCACCACAGAGAAACCAACAUCAUUACUUCAUUAAGGGGAAGAUAUCAUGCUUACAAAUCAACUCUUUGCGAGUUGAUGCUUCCCUAUUACUACUACUACAUUACAUUACAUUACUGCUACUACUACUACACUACUAAAUACUACUACAUUAUUCUAACAAUACUAAUAUCUAAAAGACCAGUGGCAUCUAGCCACUGGCCCUGUUGCUGCCGCCGCCGCUGCCGCCCCUGGUGCUGCCUCUGCUGCUGCCGCCACCGCCGCUGCCGCCCUUGCUGCCACCGCCGUCACCGUCCUUGCUGCUGCUGCCGCCGCCCCUGCCGCUGCCGUCACCGUCACCGCCACCACCGCCUUCGUCGUCGUCGUCGUCGUCUUCGUCCUCGCCGCCGCCGUCCGAGUCCUCCUCAUCCGAGGAGUACUCCGACUCAUCCGAGCCCUCGAGCCCGGAGCGCUCGACGGCCCGGAUGUACGUCCAGACCUCCGCCGCGAGCCCCUGGGAGUCGUCUGAGUCGUCAGACGACUCACGCAGGGGGAUUGGAGCCGGAGACCCCUCAGACUCAGAGGAUAACUCCUCCUCUGAGUACUCCGAGUCACCAAAAUCCUCCGAUGGAGGAGUUGGCUCACGCUUGCGCUUGUUGUUCUUGCCCAUGGUGGAAGCGAAAGGGAGAGAAGAAAGGCAAGCAGCAGAGAACAGCGAGAGAUGUGAAAAAGUCGGAGAGACAACGGCGUUAUUUAUAGAAGGAGAAGGCAACCGCUCACCUCCAACCGCGGUCACUGAACAGUCGCAAAGCAUUCAAUAAGCACUCCAACCCGUCUGAAGACACGUCAGGCGGCUGACGUCGUUUCACGCAACACAACACCCAUUGAGACACCAGUCAACAGCGCAGAAGAUAUGAUUACACCCGCCAUCACAUCACAUUACUACUCAGAAGCAGCCGGCUAAAACACUCAGCGUACCAAGCCGUUCCUUGCCCACACCCAUUGGGGGGGACGCCUAGGAAUUAUCAGUAUAUUUUUCAAAACGGUCACAUCUGUGCAGGGCGUGCAGCGAAUACCUCAAGACAAAAAUGAGAUAUCAGUAAGGAUCAGAGGAAAGCCAAAUAUAGCCAGUUAAGUACAAAAUAUGACCGACAGAAGCGACGUGAAGACUAGACAGAGAACGUCCAUCAAAUGUCCAAUCAGCUGCAGAGCAAAUAAAUUACACCACCUAGCAAGAUAUGGAUGGAUCGCGAACUCGGAUGCAAAAGACAAAAUACAUGCUGACCUCUGAAGCACAAUAUUGAUGACAUAAUGCUGACCUCCAAAGUAUAAUGCGGAUGGCAUCAUGCCGACCUGUACAAACAGAAAGGAUAAUCUUCAGCAAAAAGACACAAAAGGAAGACCUUCGAAUGGAUUGUCCUCAAAAAUCCACUCGAAGGUCGGGGGCUACACCCAAUGAAGCUCAGGGUCCUACAAAACGAAAUGCCGACCUCUAAGGCACGAGGAUGAAACGAAGCUUCGGUUCACGAGUGAUCAAAGCAGGAGGAGACAGUAAGAAGUCGUUUUCUUCAAAUCGCCUGCAAGUUGGACCUGGGAUCUUCGGGCUGAUUACCUCCAAAUUAACCCAAAGAUCGGGGGCUUGUGGGGUACAGAUAUCCCCCGAGUCCACUAAAAGAGAAAAAGACCUCACGAAAGGCCCAAGGGCCCAAUAAAUCGUAAGGUCAUUCUUUCAUGGGCCUGAGGAGGGACAACCAGCAAAGCAGAUCAACAUAAGGCUCGAUUGGUGCAAACCCAGACGGCCCACAACGUCGGGCGAGCGACUGCAACAGAAGUCCGACUUUCCCGCGCUGGAGCCCCAUGCAACGGAGCCAUGCGAGGAUAAGUCGGCAGAACCACGAGGAGAUAAACUCAAACAGUUCACUAUCUUUUAGCUACACUUUGUUAUCAUAUCCAUAUGUAUUGCCCCACGGUCGAGUAUAUAAGGCCUAGGUGGCACCCCUUUAGAAUGAUCGACCCUACUACUUAGCCUUCCACUCCAACUCUCUGCAUUCUCAAUUCAGAGAGCUCUUUUGUAACCUCAUUCACCAAGCAUACUCACCAGGACGUAGGGUGUUACGCGUCUCUAAGCGGCCCGAACCUGUAAACAUUGUCCACUUUCCCUCGUGCAUCUGGCACGAACCAUUUUGCUACAGUCGUCGACACCGUCCUACUCCUAAAAACACCUUGAGGGGCAACCCCGGGUGUGCGGUCGGACCCAAUACACCGACAAUGGUCUCCACCAGAAAUCCAAGAAUGUGAUCUAUGGCAAGGAAACAUAUGUGGGGUGAGGUGUACGAGCCUCUGGUCGAUGAUCAAUGGCCACACAACCCCCAUUUUUGUCGAAAAUAGCCAUGAACCACCAUUUUCAAUGACACUGAAGGCUAGCACCGACGGAUUUUUGACCAAGAAAUGGUCUCCACCAGAAAUCCAAGAAUGUGAUCUAUGGCAAGGAAACAUAUGUGGGUUGAGGUGUAUGAGCCUCUGGUUGAAUAUCAAUGGCCACACAACCCCCAUUUUUGUCAAAAAUAGCCAUGAACGACCAUUUUCAAUAGUACCGAAGGCUAACACAUUCGGUUUUUGACCAAGAAAUGGUCUCCACCAGAAAUCAAAGAAUGUGAUCUACGGCAAGGAAACAUAUGUGGGGUGAGGUUUACGAUCCUCUGGUCGAUGAUCAAUGGCCACACAACCCCAUUUUUGUCGAAAAUAGCCAUGAAUGACCAUUUUCAAUAAUACCAAAGGCUGACACGUACGGAUUUUUGACCAAGAAAUGGUCUCCACCAGAAAUCCAAGAAUGUGAUCUAUGGCAAGGAAACAUAUGUGAGGUGAGGUGUAUGAGCCCCUGGUCGAUGAUAAAUGGCCACACAACCCCCAUUUUAGUCGAAAAUAGCCAUGAACGACCAUUUUCAAUAAUACCGAAGGCUAACACCAACGGAUUUUUGACCAAGAAAUGGUCUCCACCAAAAAUCCAAGAAUGUGAUCUAUGGCAAGAAAACAUAUGUGGGGUGAAGUGUACGAGCCUCUGCUCGAUGAUCAAUGGCCACAAAACCCCCAUUUUUGUCGAAAAUAGCCAUGAACGACUAUUUUCAAUGACACUGAAGGCUAACACCUACGAAUUUUUGACCAAGAAAUGGUCUCCACCAUAAAUCCAAGAAUGUGAUCUAUGGGAAGGAAACAUAUGUGUAGUGGGGUGUAUGAGCCUUUGGUCGAAGAUCAAUGGCCACACA